rnacentral:rRNA from 1 species
GACGAACGCUGGCGGCGUGCUUAACACAUGCAAGUCGAACGGAAAGGCCCUGCUUUUGUGGGGUGCUCGAGUGGCGAACGGGUGAGUAACACGUGAGUAACCUGCCCUUGACUUUGGGAUAACCUCAGGAAACUGGGGCUAAUACCGGAUAGGAGCUCCUGCUGCAUGGUGGGGGUUGGAAAGUUUCGGCGGUUGGGGAUGGACUCGCGGCUUAUCAGCUUGUUGGUGGGGUAGUGGCUUACCAAGGCUUUGACGGGUAGCCGGCCUGAGAGGGUGACCGGCCACAUUGGGACUGAGAUACGGCCCAGACUCCUACGGGAGGCAGCAGUGGGGAAUAUUGCACAAUGGGCGGAAGCCUGAUGCAGCAACGCCGCGUGCGGGAUGACGGCCUUCGGGUUGUAAACCGCUUUCGCCCGUGACGAAGCGUGAGUGACGGUAAUGGGUAAAGAAGCACCGGCUAACUACGUG